GGAGAGGUCGCAUAGUGGCCGAGUGCGCUCGCUUGGAAAGCGGGUAUACCGCAAGGUAUCGAGGGUUCGAAUCCCUCCCUCUCCG
rnacentral:tRNA from 1 species